GAAACACAUACAAAAGUUUUUUUUUUAUCAUUAUUAUUUGUUUUGUUAUUUUCAAUGUUGGUCUAGUUUUGGUUUUUAUUGGUGAAUAUAUUAGAUCUCUUUGCUUUUCCUCCUUCAUUUUAUUUUUAAUUUGAUAUGGGAAACGUCGGACAUGUUGAACUAUAGGCUAUUAGCUGCGUCCUCUGAAGAUUUGCGGUGUACAGUUGCUGCUUGGGUGCUAAUGAGAAGUUGACAGUGGUGGGAAUGGCCACCGAUAUCAAAGGUGGUUGCCGAUGAAAGGAAAUUGCUGUUGGAGCAUGGUUUUGCAAGUGAUGUGAGCUUCCCUACUGCAGCGACAAAUGAUGGGAGAUCUAUGGAGAUUUUGUUACAAUCUGGUGCUAGAGUUUUGUUUAGUGGGGGGAGUUUUGUUGGUCGUGAUUUAGGAAAUUUUGGUUACGAUCUGGUGCCAAAAAAUUUGGGGAAAGUUUUUUUUUUUUGUGUGCAGUUGCGGUUUUUGGGUGUGACGGUGGUGGU
rnacentral:lncRNA from 1 species